rnacentral:rRNA from 1 species
CCUACGGGAGGCAGCAGUCGAGAAUCAUUCACAAUGGGGGAAACCCUGAUGGUGCGACGCCGCGUGGGGGAAUGAAGGUCUUCGGAUUGUAAACCCCUGUCAUGUGGGAGCAAAUUAAAAAGAUAGUACCACAAGAGGAAGAGACGGCUAACUCUGUGCCAGCAGCCGCGGGAAUACAGAGGUCUCAAGCGUUGUUCGGAAGCACUGGGCGUAAAGCGUGCGUAGGCUGUUUCGUAAGUCGUGUGUGAAAGGCGCGGGCUCAACCCGCGGACGGCACAUGAUACUGCGAGACUAGAGUAAUGGAGGGGGAACCGGAAUUCUCGGUGUAGCAGUGAAAUGCGUAGAUAUCGAGAGGAACACUCGUGGCGAAGGCGGGUUCCUGGACAUUAACUGACGCUGAGGCACGAAGGCCAGGGGAGCGAAAGGGAUUAGAUACCCUAGUAGUC